rnacentral:misc_RNA from 1 species
GAAAUGCGAUAAGUAAUGUGAAUUGCAGAAUUCAGUGAAUCAUCGAAUCUUUGAACGCACAUUGCGCCCCCUGGUAUUCCGGGGGGCAUGCCUGUUCGAGCGUCAUUUCACCACUCAAGCCUCGCUUGGUAUUGGGCAACGCGGUCCGCCGCGUGCCUCAAAUCGACCGGCUGGGUCUUCUGUCCCCUAAGCGUUGUGGAAACUAUUCGCUAAAGGGUGUUCGGGAGGCUACGCCGUAAAACAACCCCCUUUCUAAGGUUGACCUCGGAUCAGGUAGGGAUACCCGCUGAACUUAAGC